rnacentral:rRNA from 1 species
CGCACGGGUGAGUAACACGUGACUAAUCUACCUCCGAGUGGGGAAUAACUGAGGGAAACCUUAGCUAAUACCGCAUAACACUUACGAGUCAAAGCAGCAAUGCGCUUGGAGAGGAGGUCGCGGCAGAUUAGCUAGUUGGCGGGGUAAUGGCCCACCAAGGCAAUGAUCUGUAUCCGGCCUGAGAGGGCGCACGGACACACUGGAACUGAAACACGGUCCAG